rnacentral:rRNA from 1 species
UUAUAAAUAAAAUUUGCUUUUUCAGUGAAGAAGCUGAAUUAUUUUAGAAAGACGAGAAGACCCUAAUGAGUUUUAUAUAAAUAAUUAUACAUUAUAUAUUAUAUAUUUUAUUGGGGAGAUUAAAGAACAUAUCUUCUUUUUAAAAAAAAGAAUAAUAAUAUGAACCAUUAUUAAUGAGUAUAAGUUCAAAUUACCAUAGGGAUAACAGCAUAAUCUUUUUUAAGAGUACAUAUCGACAAAAAGGGUUGUGACCUCGAUGUUGGAUUAAGAAAAUAUUAAAAUGUAGAAGUUUUAAAUAAUAAGUCUGUUCGACUUUUAAAAUCUUACA